AUUGAACGCUGGCGGUAUGCUUUACACUUGCAAGUCGAACGGUAGAGGGGCAACCCUUGAGAGUGGCGAACGGGUGAGUAAUACAUCGGAACGUGCCCAGUCGUGGGGGAUAACGUAGCGAAAGCUACGCUAAUACCGCAUACGACCUGAGGGUGAAAGCGGGGGACCUGCAAGGGCCUCGCGCGAUUGGAGCGGCCGAUGGCAGAUUGGGUAGUUGGUGGGGUAAAGGCUCACCAAGCCGACGAUCUGUAGCUGGUCUGAGAGGACGACCAGCCACACUGGGACUGAGACACGGCCCAGACUCCUACGGGAGGCAGCAGUGGGGAAUUUUGGACAAUGGGCGCAAGCCUGAUCCAGCCAUACCGCGUGCAGGAAGAAGGCCUUCGGGUUGUAAACUGCUUUUGUCAGGGAAGAAAUCUUCUGGGCUAAUACCCUGGGAGGAUGACGGUACCUGAAGAAUAAGCACCGGCUAACUACGUGCCAGCCGCCGCCGUAACAC
rnacentral:rRNA from 1 species